UGCAAAGAAUGUUCUUGCCAGUGGAAGCGACGAGGUACUAUUGGGUCUCAAACACGAGAUUGAGGAAAAAGCUGGGAGCCUUGUGAGUGAACGACCAAAACAGAUGGAACCAGUCCACGAUGGCCUCCUCGAAUAUCAUUUCAAACCAACAAAAGAUGUUAUGGAAGAUAUAAAGUUAAAUGACCUCGGAAGAAUUGUUUAUCGGGAAAAAACGAAGAAAAGGCGAGUUAACGUUACAGCACAGUCUUUAUGUGAAAGAUCAACCAUCUUGGAUGGUAACAUGGAACAGGCGAAGCAACUUGUACAAUGGUUGGAAGAUAAGACGUUUGGUUGGCAACUUUGUUACCGCGCCUCGAGUCAUGGUUGGAGCGCAGAGGAUUUUCACAGAAAGUGCGACGAUGUUGGACCAACAUUGACUUUAGUGAAAUGUGGAAGCAACAUCUUUGGUGGUUUCACUGCUGAAAGUUGGAAGCCAUCACUAGU